rnacentral:rRNA from 1 species
AACGAACGCUGGCGGCAUGCCUAACACAUGCAAGUCGAACGAAGUCUUCGGACUUAGUGGCGCACGGGUGCGUAACGCGUGGGAAUCUGCCCUUGGGUGCGGAAUAACUUCUCGAAAGGGAUGCUAAUACCGCAUAAUGUCGUAAGACCAAAGAUUUAUCGCCCCAAGGAUGAGCCCGCGUAAGAUUAGCUAGUUGGUGGGGUAAAAGCCUACCAAGGCAACGAUCAGUAGCUGGUCUGAGAGGACGACCAGCCACACUGGAACUGAGACACGGUCCAGACUCCUACGGGAGGCAGCAGUGGGGAAUUUUGGACAAUGGGCGCAAGCCUGAUCCAGCAAUGCCGCGUGAGUGAAGAAGGCC